GCCAGACCACCCUGAAAGCGCUCGGUCUCUUCUGAGCUCAGACACUAAGCAGGGUCAGGCCUGGUUAGCACUUGGAUGGGACAAAUGUAUAUUAUUUUUAUAAUAUAAAAAUACAGGGAAAACAAGAGU
rnacentral:rRNA from 1 species